rnacentral:tRNA from 1 species
NNUAGUUAAUGAGCUUGAUACAAGCAUAUGUUUUGAAAACAUAA